rnacentral:rRNA from 1 species
GGGGGAACCCNGACGCAGCCCUGCCGCGUGAAUGAAGAAGGCUUCGGGUUAAGUUCUUUCGGUAAUGAGGAAGGGAUGUUGUUAGAUAGAUAGCAUCAUU